GGGUCUCAUUUUUCUGUUUGUCAUCCUUUUUGUUUUUUCUGUACAGGGAGACCGUGAAUUAAAAAGAAAUCUGAGACUUGUUUUCAACUAUGGACAUUUCUCUGAGUGAAAUGACAAACAGACGAUACACCUACCUUUGAUAUAUGUCCUAAUUAGGUCUACUGUAUCGCUGUGCUGUAUUGAGAAAGAUCACUCACUAAACGGUUCAAGCUCCAUCCUGUUGGUUCUGACCAACACUACAGGGUGGAAGCUCAUGACGGACACAGCCUGGCAGGUAGCUGUUUUCACGCUGAUGUCCGCCACAGACAGAAGCUCUACCAGAACCUUCUCCACAUUCUGCCCAUGGAGCAGUUUACGAUUCUCAGCUGCACCCAUGUACACGCACAGACAACAAAACAAACACAGAAAACACACACAGAUAAGCUCUGAGCAACCCUGGCGAUGCAUUUAACAGCGUUGGACUGGAUUUCAGGUGUUGCAUGUAUCUGUAUCAGUGGUGACAUUCUGCAGCGUUUUUAAAGCCAAAUGCUGAAUGACCGGGAAGUCGGACUUCAACAGUUCCAGAAGUGGAGGGAUCCCUCCCAACUCAUGUAAUGCCAGACGACUUUGGUGGUCCUUCAUACAUACAGCACAACACAGAAUACAAGAAGACAACAAGAACUUUGGAACAAUACAUUUCACCCAUGCCCUUUUAACCUUCUCUAAACUGACAGCUUUGAGUCACCUGAACC